GUAGGUGGCAAGCGUUGUCCGGAAUUAUUGGGCGUAAAGCGCGCGCAGGCGGUUCUUUAAGUCUGAUGUGAAAGCCCACGGCUCAACCGUGGAGGGUCAUUGGAAACUGGAGAACUUGAGUACAGAAGAGGAAAGCGGAAUUCCACGUGUAGCGGUGAAAUGCGUAGAGAUGUGGAGGAACACCAGUGGCGAAGGCGGCUUUCUGGUCUGUAACUGACGCUGAGGCGCGAAAGCGUGGGGAGCAAACAGGGAUUAGAUACCCUGGUAGUCCACGCCGUAAACGAUGAGUGCUAAGUGUUAGGGGGUUUCCCGCCCCUUAGUGCUGCAGCUAACGCAUUAAGCACUCCGCCUGGGGGGUACGGCCGCAAGGCUG
rnacentral:rRNA from 1 species